CAAGUUCUGUUGCAAUCUUAAUGAAAAUUUAGUUCAUAAUAAUAAUAAAUAAAAAACAUCAUCCAGAUUAAUAAUCCAAACAUCCCAGAUAAUUACAAAAGAUAAAACUAGAGAAGAAGAAGAAACUCUGAAUUUGCUCCAAUACUCUCUCUUUGAUCUUCAGCCCUUCCAAUCCUCCUUCGUGUUUUUCUUCGUUGUUUUCUCUGCAAAUCUCUUGAAAAAUUAAGUGAUACGGUUUUCUAAAGUCUUCUCCUAUUUGUAUUAGUCUCCCCCCUCAUUCAGAUUCCUUUUUGGCUUCAAAAACCCACUCAGCAGUAGAAAAAUACCUCUUUAGCCGCACAUGAGUGCCUAGGCGCUCAACCCAUGACAUUUCCAAGCCCCUAGGCGCUUGACCAGGACCACGUAAUUAUAAAAAUGCCACUCAGCUCUAAUUUUAAUGAUUUUUGACCUUUUUCUUCCCCCAAAUGACCAAUUUUGCUCCUCCAGCUCCAUCCUACAAGAAAUAAACACAUAAAAAGAUACUAAAAAAUAAUUAAAGAUAGCAAUAAUUAAGUUUAAUAAUAUCAUAUUCAUAGGUAUAAAACCUACUCAUCAAAUACCCCCAAACUUAAUCAAUUGUUUGUCCCCAAGUAACAAAACACAAUGCAAUAACUAAAUGUGCAAUGCAAAUGCAAAUGCAAAUGCAAAUGCAAAUGCAAAUGCAGCUAUCUACAUGCCUACGAGUCCAGCAGUCAAACAGAACAAAAUCUAUUCAUCAAGCCUCAGAGAAAUCACAAUAAACUUGUUAAUACAUCAUACUAAGACAGAUCAAUAAUUUCUCAAUCAAUCAUCAAAUCUUACCAUGUUAUUACUGAUAUAGUGCAUGUGUGCUCAACAACCAUGCUAACUGAUAUAAAAUCAAAUUUAACACAUAAUAGGUCUCUUUGAAGCCAUCAUACAGUGUAAACUUAAGAAAUCCAAAAACUGGCUAAAUCCAGCUAAAAUCAAACACCAACCAAAUCUAAAGGUCAAGAUGGGAUACUACUGCUUUAUUUUUUUCACUUACGGGGGCUUUUUGCUCUUUUUCCCUUUUUUUUCUUUUUUUUCUUUUUUUUACUCAUGGCUGUGCAAUGUCUUAUUCCCUUAGGCUAACAGUGCUACCCCUUAGCGAGUUUUCAACCAACGACUCCCAAACCAUUCAGGCUUUAGGGCGCUAGGUGUAGAGACAAUCCCCUCGGGCGUACUUACUCAAGUAACAAUGGGCCCGAAACAAAACUAGCCACAGGUUAUUUUUUUUUUAUUAUUUAUAUAGCUUAUAUAUCCCAAAUUUUUCACCAAACUUAGGUUCUUGUCUAACUUUAGCCAUCACUACCUAUUCAUGAGUUUCUUUCAUUCAAACUAGCAUUAUCCUUAAGAAUUCCAUUAUGUGUUAAUUUAGACUCAAUCAGUCAACAUAGUUGUUUUUACUGUACUAUCCUUAUUAUAUCAUUUUUAAACAAGUAAAGAUUUAAAUCAUGACAAGAAAUCACAUCAAAGUUUUAACAGUCAAUACUAUACUUGUCUACUCAAUUCCAAUCUCAUCAUUAGUCAAAACAGACUUGAACUAUCUAGCAGCUGGAAACAUGCAAAUACUUGAUACUUUUUUUUUGAAAAUUUAAGAAAUUAGAAUGAAAACUACAUGAAAAACUACAAAAUGAAUAAGUUAUACUAAAUGAAUGCAACUGGAACUGGAAGAAUGCACCCCCAAACUUAACAUAUGCAAUGUCCUCAUUGUAUAUAACAAAAAAACAUAAGAAAAUUAGGCACUGAGGACUUCCCUGAAAGAUCGAAGCCUUACUCCUCGUCACUAUCCUCUUCUUCUUCUUCAUCAACCUCAUCCUCAAGGGGUAAAUCAGUCGGGAGGGUACACAGACUGGGGUGGAAAUUAGUAGGGAGCGCCUGCUGGAUUCAUGCGCUCGAACAUCUCUAGGAAUGCUGCACUACAAUUCUGAUACAUCUCCGUUUGUCUUUGAGCCAGACUAUCCUAAUUUCUUUCCACCCGGUCAAAACCCUGCUGAACUUGAGUAGCCACCAUGUCAAUCCUUCUAGUUUGAUUUCUUAAUUCUCGAAGAAUAUCCUCAAAAAAAUUUGGCGGUGGCCCAUAACUCCCAGCUGCUGUAGGAUUGUCAUUUGACUGUUGAUUAGGCUCGUCAGCAGGCUCUGGAGGCACAAUAAUAAAACCUAACCCUCUUAGAUGUGGUGUACCCCCAACCCAUACCUUGUACUUUUUAAUAACCGACUGGUCAAUUGGGGCUAAAGGAGGUUGUCUAGCUUCCUCGGCAUCCCAUUUUACUCCAGCUUGUUGACAUUGUUCAGUAAUCAAAGAUGGAUGAGGCAGUCCACCAGAAGUCCCACCUUGAAUUGCUCUGUCGAUUGAAUCAUGAAUAAUCUAACCCACAUCUAUACUUCUUCCUUGAGCAAUGCAGAAAAGCAACGUUGCCCGUUGAUUUAUGACAUCACUCAGAUGCCUACACGGCAUCAACUUAUCACAAAUAAAGGCAUGUCAUGCUUUCUCAUAACUACUUAGUGCGGAUGCAGGGAACAUAACAGCUUCUUGUUGAUCUGUUAAUUUCCAUUUUGUUCCAGUUACACACAAAGCUUAAAUGACCUCACUAUAGUCCAACUCGUGCUCUAGAUAUUGCAUGUAGCCUAACUUAGGUAUUAUGUUCAAGCCGUAGUAAGCAUUUAUUGUCCUGAAACUGACCUCCACUGAUUUUUCGCGAACCCAAACCAUGUUACCAACAUCAUCUUUUGCAUUAGCGUAGAAUUCCUUAACAAUUUUAAUAACCGAUGAAUCCGGUUUAGCUGUAAAGUUCACCCAUCUUCUACUUCCAAUCAUUUGUAGUAACUCCCCAUCUUCUGCCUUGGCAAUAAUCCACGCUCAGGAAUUAGUGUUUUACUAGAAAGCAAAUUAUAAUAUCUUUCGGAUGCACAAGCACUUGUAAAUCUCUUUUUGUCAAACUUUGUCGAAGUGCCCGAAGUCUCUCCACUAUGCCUUUUAGUAGCCAUAAGUCUUGCGUGUUAAUUUCUUGGCCAACAAAUGAUGUUCAGUGGGUUAGUAUGGGCAAAUCCUCUUUGUGACAAAUUAUUGAACACUUGGUGUGCAAAAAUUUUGAACAUUAUUGUUAAGCACACCCACAAACUUAAUUUUCACCAAAUUUGUCAAUUACUAAGCACACUUAGCCUUCCAAUACAAUACAAGCAACAAUUAAGAGUACCCAAACCAACUUGAGCCAACACAAUUAAAGAAACUAACUUCAAAUUACUGACUUAGCUACUAUCCAAGCAAAUCCAAAUAAUUUGCAAUAAAAUCUUGCACACUUACUUGGUUAUAGCCAGAUAUAAUGUUCCAAUCAAAGUUGCAGGAGCAAUUUUUUGAGGUUUGAACACUUACUUCAGAUAGAUGUGGUUUGAAUGUCAGUUGGUGCCCGAAUUGGUG
rnacentral:lncRNA from 1 species